CAAUAGUUAAUGAAAUUCUUGAACUAUGCUGGUACUAUUCAUGGACAUGAAGAUUGUUUUGCUUGGACUGACAUAGUUAAUUAUGUUCAUGAAAUGUAAGACAUUGAUGGCUUUAGGGAAAUGUUAUUAGAUGUCACUAUGUCUAUAGAGUACAGAGAUAUCGUGCAUAGAGAGGAUAAUGUUGUUUUGAAUGGUUUCUGCUUGUAAUUACAUGAGUAUUGGAUGUAUUUCUAUUGCAUUGGCGUCAAUGGUAACGCAAUCUAUGACAUUCUAUGAUUUUACUUUGAGAUAUGAUACAUUAUCAAUUGACAACGAGAGAGAGCACGCUCGUAGCCAUUCAUGCUAGGUCAUGGAUGCAUACAAGCGUGCUCUCUAUCGUUGUCAUGUGAUUUGUACAGAUCUUUUUGCGGUAUCUAUUUGUUGCAAUAGCUAGCAGCCAACAGGUGUUUAUGAGAUUUGAUCAGCUGUUAUGUUUUCAAGGACUUGUCAUCUACCAAAUUCUAACUAGCCCUAACCCUACUUCAAAAACGACCAUCAGAUUUCAAUCCUAACCCUAAUUUUUUGAUCCAUCCUUUUAAAUUACCUCAAUUAAGAACCUAGAA